GUGGGGAAUAUUGCGCAAUGGGCGAAUGCCUGACGCAGCGACGCCGCGUGUGGGAUGAAGGUCUUCGGAUCGUAAACCACUGUCGGGAGGGACGAAGGCCCGGGGUUAACUGCCACCGGGAUUGACGGUACCUCCAAAGGAAGCACCGGCUAACUCUGUGCCAGCAGCCGCGGUAAUACAGAGGGUGCGAGCGUUGUCCGGAAUCACUGGGCGUAAAGGGCGCGUAGGCGGCUGGGUAAGCCGCGUGUGAAAUCCCGGGGCUCAACCCCGGAAUGGCACGCGGAACUGCCUGGCUCGAGCAUGGUAGAGGCGAGCGGAAUUCCUGGUGUAGCGGUGGAAUGCGUAGAGAUCAGGAAGAACACCGGAGGCGAAGGCGGCUCGCUGGGCCAUUGCUGACGCUGAGGCGCGAAAGCGUGGGGAGCAAACAGGAUUAGAUACCCGAGUAGUCC
rnacentral:rRNA from 1 species